rnacentral:rRNA from 1 species
UACGUAGGGCGCGAGCGUUGUCCGGAAUUAUUGGGCGUAAAGAGCUCGUAGGCGGCUUGUUGCGUCUGCUGUGAAAUCCCCGGGGCUUAACCCCCGGGCGUGCAGUGGAUACGGGCAGGCUGGAGGCAGGCAGGGGAGAAUGGAAUUCCCGGUGUAGCGGUGAAAAUGCGCAGAUAUCGGGAGGAACACCCGGUGGCGAAGGCGGUGUGCUGGAUCCUUUCUGACGCUGAUGCGCGAAAGCCAGGGGGAGCAAAACGGG